GACGAACGCUGGCGGCGUGCUUAACACAUGCAAGUCGAGCGGUAAGGCCCUUUCGGGGGUACACGAGCGGCGAACGGGUGAGUAACACGUGGGUGACCUGCCCUCAGCUCUGGAAUAAGCCUGGGAAACUGGGUCUAAUACCGGAUAUGACUCCAUGACGCAUGUUGUGGGGUGAAAGCCUUGUGCGGCUGAGGACGGGCCCGCGGCCUAUCAGCUUGUUGGUGGGGUGAUGGCCACCAAGGCGACGACGGGUAGCCGGCCUGAGAGGGCGACCGGCCACACUGGGACUGAGACACGGCCCAGACUCCUACGGGAGGCAGCAGUGGGGAAUCUUGCGCAAUGGCCUAACGGCUGACGCUGCGACGCCGCGUGUGGGAUGAAGCUCUUCGGAGUGUAAACCACUGUUGCCCGGGACGAACAGCUCGAUUUCUCGAGCCUGACGGUACCGGGUGAGGGAAGC
rnacentral:rRNA from 1 species